ensembl:lncRNA
CAGAGACUCUUCCUUUCACCUGGAGAUAUUUGACAGGUGAUGUAUUUUCCUCUGACAUUCAGAGUGAGAAGAUUUGUGACUUUAAGAGAGCAUGUUGAUCUGAGUUAUCCACUCCUCACUGAUACUUUACCCUGUUUUACCCCAGAACCACCUCAGUAUGAAACAGAGACUUUUUGUGGGUCUGGACCAAAAGUAGAUGAAGCAAAAUCUACGUUUUUUUCAUAGUCAGAGGAAAGUCUCAGAUGGGCAUAUAGUGCUUAACUACAAUCACAUAUUAAUGUAUGCUAGAGACUCAUUAUAUUAGAUAUUACCCAGCACUACUGCAGCGUAAGAAUUUUUGUUUUUUUUCAGAAGUAGAAAAAGUGAUGCAGUUUACUGCAGGAAACCUUUUGCUUUUGGGGGGGCACUGUAUCUGGCAUAUUUGCUCAUGAGACGGUGAAGACCAAAUAUUCUUAUUGUCAGGUUCCACUUCCUUCUAAAAUCAGGCCAAUUUCUGUUUUUGCUCAUCUGUUUUUCACACAGGUCUCAGAUUCCUCAAAGUUCCUUGGUUUGUUUUAAUGUCUAACUUGAACAUUUUGUUCCUUUUUGUCCAUGUUGGAACUUGAUCAGCCAGUUGUUUGUGAACGUGCCUUUGCGUGAGUACUUGGAGCUACAGCAGUUGGGCACCUUUACAAAGAAAUGAUUUGGUUAUUUUUGCAUCAGCUAUCCUCUGACUUCUAUCCAUGAUGAAUAUUAAGCGAACUGGGUAUAAUAAAUACAAUUUAGUCUUUAUUAAAGUAUUGAAACAUUUAAUAAAUGGUUUAUGGCCUUUAUUGUAGCUACAAACAUAUGGUGUUAAGAGUUUAUCUCCUCAUGUGAGGGCAUUUAACAUUACUAUACAGUGUUUCCCUUUACUAUCAGAGGCUUUAAGGGGCAGGUGGUGAGAAAAAUGCAGAGACCAUAAAUUACUGCAUAGUGCAGUAUAGACUCACACUGCACUGAAAUGAAACAAAGCACAUAAAUUAGGCAACUGUAAUGAUUGUUUCAGUGUCGUCAUUUGUUCAGACGUGGCAGCAUUUGAAUGCUCACAAGAAGAAAUAUUGUAGACAAAAGUGCUAAAUAAUUAAAGCUACAUUACAGUGCUGUGAAUCAGUUGUUGAAUGUUUACUUGAUGCUUAAAAAAUUUUUGGCAAUAGAAAAAUUUAGGUCACAGUUUGGGGUUGGGGAAAACUAUUUAAUAUUGUACUCCUUUCCAAUCCAUUACAGCAGUUUUAUUUCUUGACGUGGUCUUUAGCUGGCUGCUAUUAAAACAGAGAAAAUGGCAAAAAAAUGGUUAGUUUUUAAAAAAGAUAAAGGGUUCCUGAAAAAUUGUGAAAUGCAUGUUGUUGACAACAGCCUUUUUCGUGUGUGCGUAUGUUCAAGGUUUCACAGCAGUCUGCAUCACUGUGUCCUUCUCAGUGUUUUUUUUUUUUUUUUUUUUUUCUUUUGUUACUUUGAUUUUUGAUUUUUUUUUUUUUUUUUUUUUUUUGUAAAUAUAAAUCUGCUCAGGGGUUAAACUCAUAUGAAGACCCAAAACACAAGAGUUUUACAGUGUAUCGCAAAUGCAUGAUUAGAACUCAGUGGUCCUUGGACAUCUUUGCUCAGUACAGUUGCUCUGUGUGUGUUUAGCUGUAUUUACAGCUCGUAUGUGUCAAACAUCCAAACAUGGUUCUCCAGUUUCUCUGCUUUCUUGAGCUUACUUGUAAUUAAGGUCUGUUUGUUGUACAGUCCACUUUUUCUGUUGAGCCUGUACCACCUCAGUCAUAUGUUGCGUGAUGCUCGACCUGCCCUGGAAGGGUCAGACCAAAGUCUGGAUACGUGAGCUGUCCCAGUGGUGAUAAUUAAACGGAGGAUGUGUUUGAAUCCUAAACCUGUGGAGUGGUUACUGUUAGGUGGAACAAGAACAAAUCUUUGUAUCAUUUGUACAGUUUGUAAAAUGAGUCAAACUGAAAUUGUUCAUGCAUCCUUUUUUUAUUUUUUAUUUUAUUUUUUUUAUGGUGGAGGGAGAACUUAUUCGUUAGAGCUUGCUCUCUAAUUGGAAGUCUCAUUUUAACUUGAAUGUGCACCAUGUACAGACCAACAACUCAUGUUAUUUUAUCUUUUGGGCUGGUGGCUGACUUGGAAACUUUUUUUGUCUGUUAGGUUUUUUUUUUUGUUUUUUUUUUUUUAAAUGCCGUCAAAAUGUCACGGCAGAUUUGGCUCAUCUGAAGUUGAAACACUUGAAGGACUUAAUUUUUUUUUUUCCUUUCAUUAUCGCACAAGUUGCACUACUGACAAGAGUUGUACAAAAGUUCAAAAUUACCUGUAUAUGACUGAGUGCAAUGCUCAAUAAAGCUUGGUAUACUUCUACAUUGUUGUGUGUGUUAUAAUACUAAAAAGCUACUGCAUUACAUUGCAUAUCUGGAGAAUUCUAUAGACUACAGUUACAGAUGAUUGGACUUGAAUUCUUCCAGAAACAUCAGUUAAUCGUUUAUCAAAUAACAACAGCAACUAACAAUUUGAGAUGACAAGUGUGGUAUGUUUGUUUUUUGUUUUUAAUGCAGGCACUCUGUAUUUUAUUAUUAAAGGCAGUAAUGCCACUCUUAAAAGUACUCCUAUAAAAAGUAAA